UACGAGGGGGGCAAGCGUUGUUCGGAAUUAUUGGGCGUAAAGGGCGCGUAGGCGGUGCGGUAAGUCUGAUGUGAAAUCUCCGGGCUCAACUCGGAGUCUGCAUCAGAAACUGCCGUGCUCGAGUGUGGGAGAGGUGAGUGGAAUUCCCGGUGUAGCGGUGAAAUGCGUAGAGAUCGGAAGGAACACCAGUGGCGAAGGCGGCUACCUGGACAGAUACUGACACUGAGGCGCGAGAGCGUGGGGAGCAAACAGG
rnacentral:rRNA from 1 species